rnacentral:lncRNA from 1 species
AUCUUCUUCAAGGCUUGGAAGCUCACCUCCUAUUGUUAAUCCUUGAAGAGAGGUCAGAUUGUGCAAUCCCUUGGGUAAGGCCUCUAGUCUCUUACAAUCGUAUAUCUUCAGCCUCUUGAGUUUUGCACAAGGCAAUCCCCCACAACUCCUAAUACUAAUCUCUCGAAGCUGGCGGAGAUUACGUAAACCACUCGGUAAAAUUUUCAGAUUUCCACAAUUAGCAAUCCCGAUUUCUUCAAGAGAUGAGUUGUUGUCCAACCUUUCUGCUAUUGACUCCAGCUUUGAACAUUUAUAAACAUAAAGGGACUUAAGAGACGGAGGUAGAUUGCCAACUUCAAGGGACUCAAGCAUGGCAGGUAACUCGUUUUUUGAAUAUAUACAUGUCAAAGAUGGACAACGGCUAAUUUCUAACUUCUCAAUAAGAGAUGAGUUGUACCUUCCGCUGCUGCUGCUACUCUGGAUGACCUCUUCCACUGUCAAAGUCCUUAUAUUAUCGCAACGCCAGAUCGUCAACUUCUUAAGGCUCGAUGGUAGCUGGACAGCAGCAAUAUAUGUCAACGAACGGCAACCCUCAAUAUACAAGAUCUCGAGAGACGAAUUGGUGUCGCACAUCCAUGCCUCUGGUAACGAUUUCAGUGCAUCACAUUCUCUAAUCUGAAUUUUCUUCAACUUGGAAGGCAGAGCAACCUCAGGAAAGGAAACAAGGGAACUGCAGCCGUAGAAUUCUAUCUCUCUCAAGGAACUGAGGCUGAACGAUGAUUGUGGCAGCUUCACAAGGCCUUCGCAAUAAGUCAAUCUUAGAUAUUCAAGUCUGCAUGACAACUCGCACAGCUGCUGUUGUUGGUCUUUCUCUUCCUCCGCCACCAAGGAUUGAAGUUUGGGACAGCUUGUAAUCGUCAGUCUUUUGAGAGAGCAAAUGUCUUGCAGUAAUUCGUUAUGACUCUUCCAUAUAUAUGUUUCAUUUUUAAUAUUUUUUAUCCACAAUUCUUCCAGUUUUGGUAUUCGCGGCCUCAAUGGCCCUGCGAGAAACACUUGAUUUGAUGUAUCUCUACAAACCACUGAAUUCUGUGACCCGAGAUGAUCAGUUGCACUUCUCCACACAACCUUUUUACAUCCACCAAUAUGCAAGUUGCAAACAGCUGGAAGACUCGUAACUGAAACUGACAAUUCUUCACAUCCUUCAAUUACAAGCAUCUCCAAUGCAGGAAGGUGUUCUGGAAAUGUUCCUUGCAGCUUAGAACAACUUACAAUAUGAAGCUCUCUCAAUUUAGGAAACCCUUUAACUCCCUGACCAGAGCUAAGAGGAAUCCAAUCUUCCCAUUCUUGCAUGUCUUCAAAAUAAAGAGUUUCCAAGCAUGGAAAAGGAAUCGGAGAAUCAUUCCCAUAGAACUCUGAACCCAAACUCUUUACUCUACUCAUUCCACGCACUGCAAGAUGCUUUAGAGAAGGUAGUUGCCCGACUGACGGCAGGGUAGUACACACGUCACAAUCUUUAAAUUUUAAGGUCGCUAAAUUUGAGAAUGAGGAAUCUCCCAACCAAGUUGGAAAUUCUUUACCUCCAUAGCCACCGAUAUAAAAUUGUUCCAGAUUUUCAUGAGGUUUUAGCAUGUCGAGCACAUCCUUUUCAGUUUCUGCCUCCCUUGAAGACAAACCAUUGGUACUCCGUGUCCAUCGAAACUUUAACACUUUAAGAUUCUUCUUUCCAUCCAAUUGAGCCUCCUUCGCAUCACCAAUGUCUUUUACGUUCUCCAAUUUUGAAAUGUUAAGCGUCCCACGAAGAUGCGUCAACAAUUUUAGCUCUCGUAUCCCGGAACUACUGUCUUUUCCCACAACAAAAUUACACAGCGUCUGAAGGCAAGUCAACUUAACAAUUCCUAGUGGCAUCUCCUCCAAUGAAUCUGUCUUUGAAUUAUUGAGAUGAUGCAAUUUGAUGAGAUUUCCCAUGUCUGCACACAACUUCUUCAGUCGCCGACAGCCCUCCAACAGAAGGGUGUGCAAAUUGUAAAGCGUGUUGACUGAUUCAGGCAGAGUUCUAAUCUCAGUUUCAGAUAGGUUGAGGUACCUUAAAUACCUCAAAUCACCAAUUGAAUCCGGUAGCUCAGAGAUUUGAUAUCCAUGCAGUGAGAAGACCCUCAACCGUUGGAGUUUGAACAACUUAGGAAGAAUGCUACGAGCCAAGUAUCCACGCGAACUAUUUAUCAACAUUACUGGUAAAAAGGUUCGCAAAUGUUGGAUAUCGUACAAAUCCUCAAACCUUUUACCUCCAUCAAAAUAUUCAGGAAUGUAUGACAGAUGACGAAGAUUUUUGGAAAAACUUUGUUGCUUGUUAACCUCUGAGGUAUACUCCAUUGUGAAGUAUAUUUCCCCCGCAGCCCAUUGAGCAAGGUCGCUGAUAAGAUCGUGCAUCACAAAUCGUGAUGCAUCGUUGCUUGAUUGCUGGAAAAAAGAUCUUGAGUGCAGCUCCUUAAAGAUCUUACGACUGAAAUCGUCACAAGAAUUCCCACUCCCUUUGUGAUCCAAGAAAUCCGAAGCACACCAUAAUAAAAUUAUCUCCUCCUCUUCAAAUUCAUAAUCCUUUGGAAACAAUGAGCAGUAUGCAAAGCAUUGCCUCAAAGUUGGAGGAAGAUAAUAAUAGCUCACUGCAAGGGCUGGUAUAAUGCCACAUCUCUCUUCUGGUAAUUCCCAUAUCUUGCUACUGAGCACAUCUUCCCACUCACUUCUGUCAUGAUUCCCACGUAAAAGUCCUCCAAGUGUUUGUGCUGCCAAGGGCAAGCCAUCGCAUUUGGUCACUAUCUUCUUGCCGAUUUCCUCCAGUGACUUAUGUGAACUGAUAUCUCUUGUCCCCAAUGAAUGUUCAACGAAUACAGCUAGACAAUCAUUAUCUGACAACUUCUUUAGUUGAUAAGUCGGAACAGUACCCAUAAUUUUAGCAACCUCUUGAUUGCGAGUAGUGACAAUAAUUUUACUUCCUGGUGCGCCAACUUCAAAUGGACGUCUGAGUUGAUCCCAAUCAUCGUAAUUCCGGUUCCACACGUCAUCUAAAACAAGCAAAAAUUUCUUUCCAGAUAGUUGCUUAUUCAGUUUCCCUUGAAGUGAAUUCAAGUUGAGAUUAUCUACGUUCUGGUCAGUAACAAUGGAUGUUAAGAUUGUUUUUGUUAGCCUGAUAACGUCGAAAUCAUCAGAGACACAAGUCCAUGCCUUGAGAUCAAAAUGAUCCAGCACUUGCUUAUCAUUGUAGACAAGUUGAGCAAGAGUGGUUUUGCCCAGCCCGCCCAUACCUACAAUAGGUAUAACAGAGAAUCCACCAUCGUUGCUUAAAUCAUCCCUCAACAGCAGUUCAAUAACAUCCUUCUUUUCGAUUUCCCUGCCAUAUACUUUGGCUUCCUUCACCAAAGAGGUUGUCUCUCGCCUUUUCCUGUCUUUUGUGGUCCUCCCACCCGAACUUACAUUCAAACCCAGCGAGUCCUUCUGUGUUACAAUAUCUUGAAAUCUGCCAUUGAUCUCUUUGAUUUUGGACAUCAUGGCGUAAUCGAACUGAAUCGAUUGUGGAGUAAAAGUGGUGCAGCAAGUAGGAAUGAGCUUCCGAAACUUACUUGUUCUUGUACGACUGCUACUGGGUUGAUCGUGAGCCGCAGCUGGAUCUCCAUUUCCAAGCAGCAACUUCCUCCGGAAAGCCUCAGUUUGAAACUCAUCCAGCAAGUCUUCAACAUCAAAAGCCAAGUUCUGAAGCUCGCCAAGCCAGAACUUUACAGACUGAUCAGUCUUCUUCUCCUCAGCAUCAGCAAGCACCGCCUUGAUUAUCACCAACAUAUUCUUCCACUUCUUUAGGUCGGCUUGGAUUUGCUCUUGGCUUGCAAACAGCCGAAUCCCCUCUGAAGCUAACUUAUUGACCAGCAAAUCAACGGACGCCGUUAGGAUUGCCUCUCCGAUGAAUGACAUAUUUUUUUUCUUUUUCUUUUUCUUUUUUUUUUGGUUUUGCAAAGAAAGAAAGGAGCAGAAUUAUGGGUUAUGGAAAGCAGAAUGAGAAAAUGGAACAGGUGAGAAAAUGGAUAAUUAAGCAGAAUGAGUUUGUGAUUGUGAAGGGUCUGGCCCAGCAAGCUUAGUAGAAAUCACGCGUUGAUACUUUAUUGACCAAUGACUAAUAAUUUGGCAAUUCACUCAUCACCACCACUUGGUAAGCAAAAUGAAAAUGCUUAGUAAUUAAGUGUCAAGGGUCAAGCAAAAUACGACGUAAAAUGUGUCAAGGGUCUCCCCACUUGUUGUUCCUUGCAGCUUAGAAAAGAAGAACAGAGCCCACCACCCAUUAAUAUUUAGCAAUUCACCAAUCAUCACCACUUGUUACGAAACCAUCUCAUAAACCAAGUUCAAUCAAAACUCCUAAAACGUUUCUUUUUAGAAAUAUUUUACUUUAUUCAUCUAAUAUGUUAUCUAACAAAUAGACACAAUUGAAAUCACUCUAAAGUGAAGAUGAAAGGGGAAAAAAAUAACCUUCCAACCACCAGUAAUUUAGCAAGCUUCACUUUAUUCCACCAAAGUGUAAAUAAAGCCAGCCCCCACCACCAUCAAUAAUUUUGCAAGCUUCACAGGCUUGUUGUCUUCUCCUUGACGAACUGGACAUGAGUGGACCAAGAAUCAAUGACAGAAUUUUAAAAAUAAUAAUAUGAGAAAAACCUAAACAUUUUCGACUUAGAGUAGAACCGUAAUUAAUGCUAAAAUCUACUCAGCUAACAUUUUCAAAAUAUUGUUCUUUAUGAUUUUCAAAACCGUGAUUAAGUUUUAUCUCAAAUGUUUGAAGAGAGUCUAUCAGUUCUUCUACGCUAAGAAUCUCAAAAUUCUUACUUUUUCUUCAAACGUUGAAUAUUGAAAAAAAAAAGUUGAAUAUGAAAGAAAAUAGAAUGCAUCCAUCUUCGCUGUAGAAGUCUUCUACUUAUAAAAGUAAGUUAGAAUAAACGAUUUUAAUCUCUCUUUUUAUUCCUGUAAGUGCACUACAUUUUUUUUUUAAUCUCAAUGCGAAAAUUUUAGAUAAAACAAAUUCGACUCAUUUUUUAAAGGUAUAUAUUUAGUAGGUUACUAACAUAACUAACAAAACGUGAUUAUUACACUAAAUAAAAUAAAAGACAGUACUAUCACCAAUAAUUUAGCAAGUUUCGCAUGCACGUGUUUCUAGAAAUACUAUAUGGAAUCAAACAACGGUGAUACAAAGAGAAAAGUGGAAAUCCUCUGAUUGUAUUUUUUUUUUCUUUUUCAAAAGAAAUGGUGGGGUUGGUUUGUUUGCAAAGUUAUUAGCGUGGGUCUAUUUGUUUUUGUUUUAACUUUAUUAAUCAAUAAGCAAACAUGUAAUGAUUUGUAUAUAUCACUAGCAUCACAUUAUUGGGAGGUAUUGCGCUUAGUAUUCAUAAUGUUUGUAAGAUGAAUUUGUAAGACUUAUUAAUUUUGAUGAAAAUGUAUCGGUAUUAAGAUAUUAUUUAAUUCAUUAAGUUAACUUGAGGUAUUAAUAUUCACUGAUUGUGGUGCUGAUUAAUUUACUUAACUUGUCACUAUUUACAAUUAAGAAUGAGGUUCAAUCAAUUUAUUGGGAAAAAAAAUAAAGAUUUGAUUUUAAUUCUUAGGAUUUGAUUUCGCUCUCUUUCGCUUUUUUACGUUGCUAAAGAGGCAGUAAAAAGCUUGCUGAAUGUCAUCAAAUGCUUGUAUCUCAUCUCACAAAUUGACAAUAUUUGUUUGGUAUUUCAUCUCAACGGAUGCAGUAAGAAUUGCCUCUCCGAUGACUGACAUUUUUUUUUCUUUUUUCCGGCAAAGAACGAAACAGAAUUUUGAGUUUCGAAAAGCAAAAUGAGAAAAUUGAGCAAUUCACCAAUCGGUCAAGCAAAAUGUGCGUAACAAAUCUUCCGCUUGUUGUUUAGUCCAGUAAAGUGAGAAUAAAAACAGAGCCCACCACCCAUUAAUAAUUGAGCAAUUCACCAAUCACCAGUCGCCACCACUCGUUACCAUGAAUAUAAUAAAUUGCAUCUUGAUAUUUGCAGCGUCCAGCAACAUUGACCCAGUGUCCGGGUAAAUGCUGAAUAACGAGGAAAAUGGAAUGUAUCCGCUACGAACCUUCGCUUUAAAGUCUUCAAACUCAUAAACCAAGUUAAAUCAAAACGUUUAUCUCUCUCUCUCUUUUUGCCAUAUAAUUACUUUAUUUAUUGAAUUAAUUUCCAUGCUAAAAGGAAGACUUAAAACUGCACUACAAUUUUUUAUAAUCACAAUGGUAAUUUCUACUAUCAUGUUAUUUUAAUGUCGUGCUAAAAUAAAUUAUUAUAAAGUUUUUUUUAUGAACACUCUUUUCAUUUAUAAAUUUAUAAAUUUUUAAUAUUUUUCUCACUCUUUUAGUCUUAAUAUUUGUAUUUCUCUCUUCAAACUUUCUUUAUUAUUUAAUUUUUAAAGAAAAAUAUAAAAAAAAAGUAAGAAAAAUAUUAUACUUAAAAAAUAGUGAAUAUUUUAUGGGUCUAAUACAAGCCAGUAUUGUUUUUGACAAUGAAAGAGCACGCGAAAAAUCUCACUCAUAGAAAACUUUGUGAAAGGCAUUUGAAUGUGUGGCCACAUUUUCCGAACGAAACGAUAAGGUUUUAGCCUUCUAAUUGCAAUUAGUUUGUCUUGUAACUAAAUUAUUGCCGACAAACACCAUCAUGCUGACAAACCGUGCAUGCACGUCCUCUACUUGUGUAAAAUUCCCAUAUUUCCCAUUACUUCCCGUACUUUAUGCAUUAUUGUUUUGUAUGUCUUUUUGGUGUUUACGGUGUAGUUAGGGAUGGUAGCGGGUAGGGUCUGGUACGGGUUUGACAUCACCAAACCCGCAUCUACAAAAAAUUUUAAUUACGUAAUUCAAAUUAUAAAUUUAUAACUGUUGCCUAAAAAAAACCACAUAAAAUACUUAAUUCUAGAUUUUAUCAAUGUAAAUGAGAAAUGAAAAUAUCAACAUUAAAACAAAUACACAAAAUAUAUCAAUUUAACACGAAUUCUCAAAUUCAAUUAGCAAAUAAAUAAGUCAAUCACAGCUCGAAGUGCUUUCAAUUUAAAAAAAAAAAAAAGAAAGAGAAAAAAACAAAGAACUACAAAUCAAAGUAGCACCCAGACCUAUUUCAUAGGCUCAUUCGACACUAAGAUCUUAGAAUUAAGAUCUUCAAUUCAUUCAUUACCACUAGCACCCAUUCAAAGUGGUUUUUCUAAGCAAAAUAUAAAGUACAAAAUUACAAUAAGCAUAUGAUACUCCAUGCUUUAAGUUAAAGGUCCUUAUAUAAUUUUAUGAAUAAUGUUUUAGUGAAAUUUUAUGAUUAAAGUUAAAAAUACACAAAUAUUAAAAUAAGAAUGUUGGACACCUACGCAAUUAUUUGCCAAAUUUUUUCUCUAUAAAAAUUCACUUGCAACUUGCAGCAGGUUUAAAUUUAUAAUAUCAAACUUGAUUGUAGCUCGCAAAAUUUUUAGAUUUGCAAUCAUUUUACCACCCUAAGUGUAGUUAGUAUUGUAUAUCGUGUGUUUCCAAUUGGCUCUUAUAAAAAGCCUAGAAGUUGUUUGAAUAAUGAGGGAGACAAAUAUUUCCCAAACAUAUUCUCUUUUUCAAAUUUUUUUCUUUUCUCUAUUAUUGUAACUUCAAAUCCUUAAAAAUUACAUAUUACAGACAUGAACACAAUGUUUUGACAUAGUGGCUUUUGGCUUGUCCAGAGAAAUUUAGGAUAGAUUUUGAUGUACUAAGGCUCUGUUUACUAUUGAGAUUUUGGAACUUUUGAGCCACACUUGAAAUUUGUUUAAUUCUAAUAGAGUUGUAGCCUUCGAUAUGUGCUUGGUAUUAAUCAAGUGUUAUGUUUACAGCAGUUAAAGGCAUAUUGAAUCAAAGUCCACUUUUGAUUGAGAUUUUAAAGUAGGUUUUUAAUUUGAUAGCCACUCAAGUUCAAAUAUUGGAACCACAGUGCACCUUUCACUUGCUAGGCUUUAACCAAACAGACGACGUUAUACAAACUUCUAUCCAAUAAGGCAAUGCAAACAAAAGCAAGUGAAUUAAAAAUAAAUAAUUUCUCAUUAAUUUGCAACAAGUAUUAAUAAAGUGCAUGAGAAAAUAUGUCUUUUCUUAAAUGAAAAUAAAUGUGUUAAUUAGUCAAUUUAAAUGGUACGAUGUUUUGAAAUGAUAGAGCGAUAUGGAGUUUAAAUCUUACUCUUGACGUAAUAUUUAAUAACGAAUUUGAAGAACAAUUAAAAAUUAAAAGAAAAGAAAAAAAUGCUUUCUUUUUUAACAAUGGUAAUUUGUUCAGAUGAUGAAAAUUCUUAGAGUGGUAUAAUAAGUAUUUUUGAGUGUUGCCAUCGCCAAUAAUAUUUAAUUUCCUUUAUAUAGUUAUAUCUCAAGUAACAUUUAAACAAAAGCAAGUUGGAAAUUAAAAAAAAAAAUGAACCAUUGAGAGAAUGAAAAACAAACAAAAAAAAAGUUAAAAAAUUGUAUCUCAAUAAAUUUACUUGAGAGCUACUAUACUGAUAUGUGAAGAGAAAACACAAAGAAUAAUGAUGUAUCUCAAUUAAUAGGACAAUUUUUGUAUUUUUCGUUUAUUCAAGAAUCACGAAACUUCAUUUAAACUUGUUAUUUCAUUGAUAAUAUAUUAACAUUGAACAAUGUAGGGGACAUUCCUUUCCAAUUAUGCCCAUAUAUUAACUAAAGGCCACCAAAAAGUUCAGGGAUACUAUAGUAAUUUAAGUCAACAAUUACUAUGCUUGAAAUCAGCCAAUCAAACUCACUUUAGAAUAAAUUGAGAAAUCAAAAUCACAUUCUCCAAUUCUACGAUUUCAAUUCAUCUUCUUUCUUCAACUGAAGAAUUGGUUGUAUCUCGUUUAGAUAAAUAUAAAAUAUAAAUGACAAGGAGACUAGAAAAGUAAAAUCAAAAGAAGAGCAAGAGUUUUGUUGAAAAUGACUCUUUUUCAUCAUUGUGCCGGAGUGAAUGUAUCUACAUAUAAACUAAAGAAGCACGUUUGUUUGUAUUAGCUUUUUUAUUGUAUUUUUAAUAAUAAGUCAUUUUUCAAUGAACUUAUAUCAAUUUUUAUGAAAAUAAUAGGUGUUAGUUAGUUGAUUCAAAUGGCAAAACCUCUUGGGAUAGAGCUUGUAAUUUAUUGGCUCAUGAAUUGUCUAAAUUGACACUAACGAAGCCAAAUUACUGUGAUUGGUUAAAAAAGCUCCUGCUCAGCUUCAACUUUAUUAUUCUAUGAUGUUUGUUAAUAAAUAACAAUUUUAUUGAAAAAAAAAAGACCCCUUGAACUUAUACAAAAGAUUUGGGAUCUGAAUCUCACUCGAAUUUAGCUUGAGGUUGGCAUUGUUAGCAUAAUAUUUGAAGAAUUGAAGAUAGAUUUUUUUAAAUUAAAAAUCAAAAGAUAUAUAUAUAUAUAUAUUGGUUCACACUAGUUAGUUUUAACUCAUAGUGAGAUUUAAACAAAAGUGGAAUAAUAAAUCUUAACAUCCUGACUCAUGGAUAACAUCUAGAUAAGAUAGUAAAAUCUAUUAUGUCCAAAAUAAAAGGUAUGCAGUUUGAAUUUCGCUCACAUAGGUAGUAAGAGAAUCAAAUUAUUGUUAGAUUAAAUUAAUUAAAAAAAUUAUCUGAUAUCCAAAACAGCGUAUCAACAAAAUUGAAAUAAAAGAAAAUUGAAGAGAAAAACCAUUGAGAGAACGAAAAAUUAACACAAGAUAAAUUGGAUAACUAAUUGUAUCAGUGUGCGCUAACUUCACUUAUUAAAACUUGGUUAUUUCAUUUUCAUUGAUAAUCAUUUUGACAACGAUUUUUCUUUCCAGCUAUGCCCAUGAACUAAUAAGAGAACUGCCGAAAGGGUUCGGGGAUAAUAUGGUAAUUUAAAUUAACAUUUCCUGUGCUUCAAAUCACACUUCACAACAACAGAGAAAUCAAACUCACGGUUUCUCUCAUUUUUAAUUUAUUAUAUAAAGAUAAAUAUAUAAAAUUAAAUGGCGAGAAGACCGGACGAGGAAUACGAUUACUUGUUCAAAGUGGUAUUAAUCUAAAAACAAUAAUAUUAAAUAAAACACCUGGGAGUCGUAAUGGAAAGAAGAAUACAAUAUAUGAAACUUAUAAUGUUAUUUUUACUAUAUUAUAUUGAUACUUUAUUUUGUUAAUCAUAUAAGUCAAUCAGUAAUUAUUUAAUCAUUGGAAUUAAAACUAAUAUAUUAAUUAAAAUUCAAAAUCUAUUAUAAAAAUAGUAAAUAUUAAUAUAAAGAGAUGGACCUAUUACAAAAUACAUUCACCAAAAGUUCUAUUAUAUUUAAAAUUCUCAUUCACAAAAAAAAAAAAUAAUAGUUGAAUACAUGUACAAAAAAAGGGGAUAAAUAAAAAAUAAUAAUAAUAAAUAAUAAAAGAAUAGUUUAUAUAAUAAAAAAUAAAUUUAUUGAAUAGGGAUGUUAAUAAUAAAGAAUAAUAGCCUAUCAAACUCACAUUCUCCGAUUCUACAAUUGAAUCUUUUUCAUCAUUUUGUUGGAGUGAAUGUAUCUACAUAUAUUGGGGACCAUAAUGGAAACCGGUAGAACCUACAAGGGUUAAAAUCAAAACAACGAACGAUAUCUCAAGGUCGCCGAAACGUAAAUAAUUAAUCUUAUCUUUCAAUUGAUUUUUGUGGAGCCAGAGACAAUUAAACCCGAACAGCAAAUAGCCAUAAAUGAUAGGACAAUUAAAUUGGAACUCUUCACAGACCCACGAUUUAAUAUCUUUAGAUUGUAACGGUUUAACCCAAAAAAAAAAAAUAGUAAAAUAUUUCUUAAAAAAAUGAAAAAAAAAAUGUUGAAAAGAAGAACAAAAUUCUGGUCCACGUGUCAUUUCAAAAUAGGUUGCUGGCAUAAACAACCGGCCCCAUCCCGGACAGAUGUUAUUUGAGUGGUUGGUGCGCGUUUCCACUUUUUUGUUUUAGAUGCAACGACUUAUGUACUAUAUAUACAUCUCUCUCGUAUGAAUAAUGUAUAUAUAAAAUUUGCAUACAUUAUUCAUAUGAGAGAGAUGUAUCUUAUAUACAUAUAAGAUAGGAGGAUUCAUGAAUAUAAUGUUAUAUAUAUAUAUAUGGAUUCGGCUAUGGUACCACAGUGGUACCGUGCCACUUCUUUUGUUUUUUAUGGCUGUGUUAUUGUAAAUUUUCAUAUAACCCCUUUCAUUCAUUUUUAUUUACACUUUGUUUCACAAGUAUUAAGUUAAUUUCUCCCAAAUCCGUGAAUCCUUCAACGGUCGAUCAACGGCAAAUCAGCUCCUCCAGUAGCUGUCGCUGGUCGUAAAAGACAGAGGGAAUUGUGGGGAACAAAACUCAGGUGGUGGCGUCACCGGAAACCAACAAAAUCGUGGUGAAUUGAUCUGGCUUUUCACGGCUUCGAUCUGCAGCUUUUCGAACACUUUCCGGCGACAAGGAUGGCAUGGAGAUGACCGGCAUUGCAUGAGCUUCCGAUCUGUACCAACCUUGGCUGGUGGAGUGGCCGGAAACGGAAACGGCAUGCGGGUCGGGUUUGCGGGUUUGGUUUGACAUGGAGAUGACCGGCGUCGCACGAUCUUUCGAUCGGUACCAACCUUGGUUGGUGGAGUGGCCGGAAAUGAAAACAGAAUCCGGAUUGGGUUUACGAGUUCGGGUUGAUCCAAUUCUUUUCCUUGUUAAUUAUUUAAUCUAAAAAUUAUAAAGAGUGGGGUAUUGUGAUAUAGGUAUAAUAUAGAAUAAAAAUUUAUAAAUAAUAAAUAAUACAAGGUGCUAAUUAAAAUAUUUAUAUGGAUGUAGUAGAUAUUAACUUAAUAUUUGUAAAGUAAAGCUUAAAUAAAAAUGAGUGAAGGGGUUAUAACACAAAAUUUACAAUAACACAGCCAUAAAAAACAAAAUAAGUGGCACGGUACCACAAUGGUACCGUAGCCGGAUCCUAUAUAUAUAUAUAUAUAUAGAGGUAAAUGUAAUCCCUAUCUUACAUGCAUGUAAAAUAUAUUUCCCUCAUAUGAACAAUAUAUGUGUGGAAUUCACGUACUGUUUAUGUAAGAGAGAUAUAUCUUACAUACAUGUAAGAUAUGAGGAUCCAUGAAUCUAAUGUUAUUAGUUUAAAUAAUGGGUGCAACUCAUGUUUUUGAAACAUUAAGAUCUUUAGCCAUUCUCUUAUUAUCCCGUGGUUAUUUAAGUUAAAAGAGACAGUAAAAAAACAACGUCAUAUUUUAAUUACUUACACUAAAUAAAUUACUCACACUGAUGCCGCGACUGCCGCUUGCUUUUUUUCUUUUUUUUGCCCUUUUGAUUUUGACUUUUGCUUUUACUUUUUGACUUUUGCUUUUCGUUUAUAAUAAUAAUAAUAAUAACUACUUUUUAAUUUAAUAUAAUAUUAAAUAAUAUUUUUAUUUUUAAUUUUACAUUAUAAUUAUUAAUAUAUAAUUUAUUAUUUAAUAUUAUUAUAUUAUGUUUUUUAUUUUUACAUUAUAAUUUAUAAAUAAAUUUAUAAUUUAUUAUAACUAAUAAUAAAUAUUUAAAUUUGAAUAAAUUUAAAUAAUAUUAAUUUAAAAUUAAUAAUAAUAUAAAAUAUUAAUACAAUUUAAAUAUAAUAUAAUAUUUAAUUUGAAUUAAUCACAAAAAAUUAAUACAAUACAGUGUAGCACCAAACAUUGUACAUUAUUAUUAUAAUACAGUACUAAUACAAUGCAACAUAAUAUAAUACACCAACAUUAAAAUAAUACAAUCUAAUAUAAUAUAAUACAGUGUGCGAAAUGCACCGACAUGGUAUUACUUUGUUUGUCUUGUUAUUUACAAUUAUUUAAUCUGUAGACCCACUCAUGCUCCUUCUAUGUAACAUAGAUACAAUUUGAGGAAGAUUAUCAAUUUUUUUCUGAUUAAAAAUAAUAUAUACUACUUAUUUUUUAUUGUUUUUAUAAUGUUCAACAAUCCGCUUGAGAUAAAAAAAAUUAAAUGAAAAGGAGGAGUAAAUAGAUGAUUUACUUGAUGUUGUAUCUUAGAAAUAUAAAAUAUAUUUAUUUAUUAUUAAAAAUAUUUAAAAAUAAUAAAGAGUACAUAAAAAGUAUCUUAUCCUCAACAACAAGAUCAGACGACGUCAAUUCAGCAAAAUGACUUGAAUAACUUGAAAGUCUAGCAGCCGUCACCUCUAGGCGCACACAUGGCAACGUGCGUGGCUUUGGCAAGAGGUCUCCCAAAAGGACGAUUAAGAAAAGAUUGCAGGACAAAUCAUGAAAAUAGUAGUACAGAUAUGCAAUGGCUAAAUUUCCUCUAUUAAGUCCAUCGCAAUCAAGUCUUAGAAAUCACACCCCUGUAUUAAUUUCCAGAAAUAUGUUUGUUCCAUAUUCAUCGUGCACGUAUAUAUUGUAUGUAUUGGGAAUAGAAAGAGUAUGUAAAAAUUCUUCAUUCAUGGAUUAAAACUUAAUUUAUGUACGAGGGUUAAGUGUAGUGUUUUUAAAUUUAAAAAGGACAAGUGUCAAUCCACUGAGGCUUGCUUCAAUGGCUAGAGCCACACUCCCUCACAAAGUGGUUCGAUCUCCCACAAAUACAUUAUAGAGGUUUAAUUUAAAUUUUUUUCUUAAAUUUUGAGUGAAGACAGUCUUUCUUCCAGAAAUAGAAUUUUUCUGAGAGUUUGACGCCCCUCGAAUAUUUGAGAUGAUUAAAAUUUGAGCGGUGCUAUAUAAAAUAUAAAGUAAACUAAUCUAAAUAAUUGUAUAAUUAUAAAUAUAAUGAACAAUAGUCUCAUACAAAAAAAUGACAAGUGUAGUAAGUCCAUUUAAAUUAACUUAUAUUUGAGGGGAAAAUCUCUGUAUAUCAUAGUAUAUAUUAUAUAUCCAGUCGUGGGACCCAUACAUGGUUCCAUGUAAUUCGCACAGUUGAACUGGAGACACUGAUUAGUUCGUUGUCUAUUUACCAACUUAUGUACAACUAAGUAAUUUCAUGCACCAUUUGCGCCUUAUCUAUCCAGCCUGCUUGCAUUGCAUUAACUAAACAUACAAUGAAAUUAACCCUUGUAAUUUCGGCCUUUGCCAUAGUCGUUUUGUUUAUUAGGUUUAUGUUUAUCAACAUGAUAUAUUGUCAACCAUAAUCACAAUCAGGUUGUUAAUUAUUUUUAAAUAAUGUGAAGGAACAAGAUUUUGGUCUUUGAGUGUGGAGUUAAAAAUAUCUCACCUCAAUAUACGGUGUUGUGCUCUCAUCAUCGUAAUAUUAUUUGUUAAAAGUAUGUCAAAGAGGAAAGCAGAUUCAAACAUUACUUCAAUUUUCUUUAAGAGCAUAAAAAAAUCGUUAAUAGGCUACUGUUAUUUGUUAGUACGAUUUCACAAAAGGAAGCUAGAGGAAGAUGAAGCUUUCAAGUCAUGUAUGCAUCAAAGGAAGAAACAGAGCUAACGAGAUAUGGACAAUUUUAAAUUUGUCAGCAUUUUGUCAGUUCUGGCCAUAUUUUGAAAGAUUAGCACCCUAAUUUUCUUUUAAAGCUCCUUUUCUGUCGAAAUCUAUUUCAAUUUCCAAAAUAUCUUUUUUCAUUUUUUUAGUUUCUUUCUGAUUCCAAAAAAAAAAAAAAUCAGUUUCUUAAACAACUCCAACUACAAAUAUUUUUUUUUACAAAUUUUUGAAUUAUUAAAUCAUAUGUGUGUGUAUAAAUUGAAUAGAAUUAAAAGUGGACUCAAAUAGCUAUUAUGUAAUUUUUUUAUAAUUAAAGAAAAGUUUAGAAUGCAAAAGUGUGUGUGGGAAAACAAAAAAUAUAAAUUGCCUUUGAUAUAAUUAUAUAAAACGGGUAGGUUUUAUAAGAAUUUUUUAGAGGAGUGCCAAUAUUUCAACUCUUUUUCAAAUAAAGUGAUGUCCUGGAAUAAAAUCACUACUCUAUCAUUGCUAUUAGUUUGUCUUGUAUUUCAAUAAUUGCCGACAAGUAUUAAUUGUGAAUAUUAUUAUUUUAAAAAUAUUAUUAUUAUUAUCGUCGUUAUUCUUAACAGCAAUGACUAGAAUUAUAAUAAGAACAAUAACGUUAAUACAAUAAUAUAACAACAUAAUAAUAUUUUAAUUGAGAGGAUAAGAAUGAAAUUAUGAAAUUUAGGUUGGGUAAAAACGAUGAGUAUGAAGAAAUUAAAUUACCAUUUUUUAAGCUAAACAGUUCAUAAAUUCCACAUAUUUCAUACUUAUUUCUCUUAUAUUUUAACAAGUAAACAUUAUCAAUCGUUUAAUAUUUUAAUUAAUAAACACGGCAUUAACUACGGAACUAAAAGAUCCCAAAAAAAAAAAAAAAACACAGAAAGGCGUGUAUGUAUUGCUUGUGACAAAUCUCACCCAUGGAAAACUUUGUGAAAGGCAUUUGAAUGUGUGGCCACAUUAGCCUGAUGAUUGCAAUUAGUUUGUCUUUUAAUUAAAUUAUUGCCGACAAACACUAACACGACCCACGUCCGCUACUUGUGUUAAUGUGUGUAUAAAUAUCCGCAGCAUAUUAUCAAACCUGAUGCGUGAUCCUCUUUAACUUUUGGUUAGGGUUCAUCAGACGUUAGAAGACAUCUUUUCUAAUUUGAAGAAGAUGGAAACUCCUUAUCCAUGUUCUUAGGCCAUGUUCAAUUGAAUCUCAUUUAUAAUUUUUAUUUUAAUAUUAUGUAUUUAUGAAUACAAUUAUUGUUAUGACUUUUUUAGGUAAGAAUGGAUGGUCUGAGGGUAACCCAAUAACUAUGUACAGUAUUAUUAAUGAUGAGAGCGUGAAUGACAAUUUGGAUUUUUUUCUCGUCCCUCAAUACGGAAGAAAUCUUGACCAUAGCGGUUAAGUGCUAUGUAACUCUUUCGUAUUAUGUUUAAUUAAUAGUAAAAUGAUGGGUUAUUAUUACCUGUCAAUUACGUGAGUGUCUUUGUUUGGUUUAGUUCAACUUAUAUAAUCUCUUGAGAUAUACAAGAGAUUUUCUUUAUUUACUUUCAUGUACCGCGUCUUCUUGUAAAAAGAAAUUAAUAAAAAAAAUAUCAUUGUGUGCAAUGUAUUGACUAAGUUAGUGUAUUCAUGUUAGCUUAAUUGUGCUCUCUCUUCUUGGUUAAAACAAACUCCACAUAUUGUUGGUUAGCUAAUUCUUGCAGCUAGCAAGUGAUCCUUUUCUUUCCCCUACUGCUGUAGCAUCAAAUCCUUACCAUUACAUAUCAAGUGGUAUUCGAGCCGUCAAAUGAUCCAUGGAAACGCGCAACAAAUCAAAUGCUGAAUUUUGCGAAGAGAUUCACGAAAUCCUUGCUGUACAUGAGUCUAGUUUAUUUCAAACUACGCGUGCAAUGUUCCCGUUAUUGUUUAGUAUGUCUUUUGUUGUUUGCAAUGUAGUUAGGGAUGUUAGCGGGUAGGAUUUGGUACGGGUUUGAUAUUACCAAAAGCUGCAUUUGUAAAAAAAUUUUAAUUAUCAAAUUCAUUGUGGGUUUUAUUUAUUCUUUUAACAAAGCCCAUCAGCUGUGGGUUUAAAUGGUACCUGAUGGAUAUUUUGUGAGUUCCCACGUAUAAAAUCACACUUGCAACAAAACCUAAAAACUUAAAUUACGUAAUUCAAAUUAUAAAUUUAUAAUCAUAGUCUAAAAAACCACAUAAAAUACUUAAUUCUAGAUUUUAUCAAUGUAAAUGAGAAAUGAAAGUUUUAAUAUUAAAAUAAAUACACAAAAUAUAUCAAUUUAACACAAAUUUUCAAAAUUAAUUAUCAAAUACGUAAGUCUAUCGCAACUCAAAGUGCUUUCAAUUGAAAACGAAAAAGAGAAAGAGAAAAAAAACAAAGAACUACAAAUCAAAGUAGCACCCAUGACCCAUUUUGCAGUCUCAUUCAAUACCACUAGCACCCAUCCAACACGAUUUUUCUAAACAAAGUAUAAAGUACAAAAUUACAAUAAGCAUAUCAUACUCCAUGCUUUAAGUUAAAGAUCCUAAUAUAUUUUUAUGAAUAAUUUUUUAAUGAAAUUUUAUGAUUAAAAUUAAAAAUACAAACAUUCAAAUAAGAAUGUCGGACACUUGCGUAACUAUUUACCAAAUUUUUUCUCUAUAAAAAUCGACCUGCAACUUUCAAUAGGUUUAAAUUUAUAAUAUCAAACCUAAUUGCAGCUCGCAAAAAUUAUCCGUUGCGGCCAAGACUUUGGAUUUGCGAUGAUUUUGCCACCCUAAGUGUAGUUAGUAUUGUAUAUCAUGUGGCUCUUAUAAAAAGCCUAGAAGUUGUUUAAAUAACGGGGGAGACACAUAUCUCCCAAAGAUUUUCUCUUUUUCAAAUUAUUAUUUUUUCUCUAUUAUUGUAACUUCGAAUCCUUAUAAAUUACAGAUUGGAGACAUGAACACAAUGUUUUGACAUAGUAGACUUUUGGCUUGUCCAGAGUAAUUUAGGAUAGAUUUUUACGCACUAAGGCUCUAUUUACUAUUGAAGUUUUAGANNNNNNNNNNNNNNNNNNNNNNNNNNNNNNNNNNNNNNNNNNNNNNNNNNNNNNNNNNNNNNNNNNNNNNNNNNNNNNNNNNNNNNNNNNNNNNNNNNNNUAAAUAUAUAAUCCCAAGAAAACCAGUAAUAAUAAUGGAAUCCUCCGUAAACAAAUAAUUAAAUAAUAGCAAAUAAUAAGUGGACAAAGCUAAGUUCCAGAGAUGAUAUAGGAAAUUCUCCCGCACGACACGGCAGAAACAAACUUUCCCUUUCAUUUUCUUUUCUCUUUCUCGCUCUCCAAACAGAGCAAAAGGACCGUGGCAAGAUUCUUCACUUCCAUCCAAAAUCAUGAGCAACGAAUAGUGAGCCUCCCUGUUUCCUUCCUUUUUUUGAUAUUAACCUUGUUAACAUAUACUCAUUUUAAUUUGACAAUACUUCAACUUUUUUUAUUUUUUUGCCUUUUCAUUUUUUUUGUUGAAGCAAUUAUCUGUUCAAGCUGUUGCUCAUCGGAGACUCGUCCGUCGGAAAGUCUUGCCUGCUGCUCCUAUUUGCUGUCUGUUGACUUUUCCUUUCCCUUCUUAUUUUCUUUUUUUAUAUUAAUUACUUUCUAUUUUAGCUUUUUGUUCUCUGAAUUUGUGUUAUUAAAAUGAUAAUUUAGAUGAUAAAUAAUUGUUAUUCUUGUAAAUUUCGGUUUUCAUUACGUUAAUUGUUAGUUUUUAGGUUUAUUAAUGUAAUUUUUUUUUUCAAUUUUUCAGGAUGAUUCUUAUGUCAUAGCUACAUCAGUACCAUUGGAGUUGAUUUUGUGAGUCUCUCUUCUAUAUAUAUGUAUAUAUGUGUAUAAGUUAUAAUAUGAGUCUAUGUACGUGUAUGUAUGUAUGUGUAUGCAUAUGGGGAAAGAAAUGUUGGCAGACUUCAGCAUUUUACUCUUUUUUUUUUUUUUUUGGCAGAAAAUAAGAACUGUGGAGCUGGAUGGGAAGACGAUCAAACUGCAGAUUGUGAGUCAAAAUUUCCUUUUAUCUUGUAUUGAGAGAAAUUCGAUUUGUCUUAUUUAGUGAAGGUUAUUUUCAAGAACCUUGUCUUAUUUUCUUUGUUUGAAGAGUGGUAUGUUGAAAUGAGUGUAUUUGUCUUAUAAACAUCAUUUAGGUAAUGUCUUAUGUUUGAUUGUUUUUAAUCUGUUUAGUGGGACACUGCUGGACAGGAGCGUUUCAGGACUAUAACUAGCAGUUAUUACCGAGGAGCCCAUGGAAUCAUAGUAAGGAGCCUUCCCGUUCUUGGUUUAAAUCAGAAAGUUUGUGAUUUACAUGUGACAUCUUAACAGCAUUGUAUGUGUUUAUUAACUUAUUUUUCAUCUUUCAUUAAGCAGUACAUUUUCCAAUAAAUCUGUAUACAAGAUGAUGUAGUCCAAGAAUGGGAGCCAUAAUAUGAUGCAAAUUGUCUAAUAAAUUCUUAUGACAUAUGAUGUUGUCGGAAGUAAAAGUCUUGCAAUGCUGUAUUCUCUUUUAAGAAAGAAUAAGUGGUAAUUUUGUUUUUCCAAUUUUUUAAUUGAGCAACUGUAUGAGAUUAAUUAAAUGUGUUGGGAUUUCAACAGAUUGUCUAUGAUGUAACUGGGAUGGAGAGCUUCAAUAAUGUCAAGCAGUGGUUGAAUGAGAUUGACAGAUACGCAAAUGACAGUGUAUGCAAGCUUCUAGUUGGGAACAAAUGCGAUUUAGUUGUGAACAAGGUUGUGGACACACAGACAGCCAAGGUAUAUUCAUGACUUUUGUCGCCUGAACUUUGAAUAUAAUUUUAAACUCUUCUCAAGUGCAUUUGCUUGGUAAGUUUCUGCAUACCCAGGACACUCAAACUUUGGACAGUCUGUAUCUCGAGUUGGAAUCUUUUCUGUCAAUACGACUUGUUAAAAUAAGGGUUAUUAUUGUUUGAAUCAUUCAAGAAUUGCAAUAAAUCUAAAGUCCAUAAAAAAUAUGAUUCCAUCAUUUUACUAUUAUAUCUAGACAAAAUCCAUUAUUUUACUACAUUUCAUUGGCACCGAUAGUUGACCUGUUGGCUGACUGAUAAAAUAUCAAUUUUGCACUUUAUAUUAAUUAUUUUUUGGUUAAAAAAUAACACACAAAGUAUUACAAUAUUAUAAAUUCAAAAUAUAAAGUAGUUAAAAAUAAUUCCUAUUAGCCUAUGAAUAUAAUAUUUGAUACCUCUAUUUGUGUAAUUUUUUUCCAAUGGUGAAAUUGUUAUUUUUUUUGUACUAACGGAAAUGUAGUAAAAUCAUAAGUUUUGUAAAGAUAUAGUAGUAAAAUGAUAGACUAAAAUACUUCUUGUAGUUGUUUGAUAUAUUGUAAUUCUUAAAGUAGUCAAUUGAUAAUAUCCCCUAAAAUAAAUGUUCGUAAUAUGUUCUCAUUUUAAUGCAACUGAUUGUUUAAUAAAAUUGUAUUUCUUUGUUAAUCUUUUAUCAUGUGCAUGCUCAGUGAGAAUUUGACUUACUAGAACACAAGUUUGACUUUUCAUUUAAAUGUCUCUUGUAUCAUAUCCUUCAAUGUUGAGUGUGAUUCCAAUAAAAUUGAGUAGGGAGAUCCUUAAAUACCUUUUCCUUUUUUCCAAGGGCCUGCCAAAUUGCUCUAAGUGGCUCUACCCUUUAUCAAUGAAUAAUGAAAAUAAAAUUUUUAUUAAAGCAUUUUGUUCCUUAAAUGGUGACUAAUAGUACCCCUUUUUUUGGAGAGGAAAGCCAAACAUGCCCAAAGAGAAUCAUUUACUUUCCUCUAAUGUAUUUUCUAAUUCGUUUUGAGCCUUGAAUGUCUGUUUUGGUGCGUAUUCUCAUUCCAUGUCGAAUCUUAUCCAUAUGGACAACCCCACUUACAAAAAAGUCUAAUGAAUCUAUUGAAGUUCAUAUGAGGUUUGUGCUUUAGAUUUAGACCUCUCUCUCUCUCUCUCUCUCUCUCCACUUACAUGUCUUUCACUUACCUGUUUGCAUGCACGCCCAUGCACACACUUUCAAGAUAAUACACGGUCACUCGUACUUGUGUUUUGGUUGAAUUACUGGCUGCUAACCUCUGUAAUUCAGUUUGAAACUUGCCACCCUUAGUGCUUCACUCAAAUGGUUGGUUAGGGUGAGAUCUGUAUCGUUUUCCUGGUCUCUUUCCAAGGUUAUCUAAAGGGAUUUGGCAGUCUGAUUCUUUAGGGAAUAUCAUUGCAUAAGAUAUCUAUUGUUUGUUAAUGAAUAAUUUCUAUUUAACUAGUUAUCUAUAUAAAUUGGUAAAUUUUAACUGCAUAAUUUGCAUGCAAUAAGAUUUUAUAAGAAUCUUGUUUUCAACUCAUGACUUAGACUAAUGUGAUAUGUUGAGCAUUAAGCUACAAGAUCUGAACAUCAAAGUGCUUCACAAUGUUAAGGAGAAAGCAUCUUUUUCUGCUUCUUCAUGUGAUUUAAAGUUUCCAAGGUACUUAUUCUAUAAAAUAUCUUUCAAGACUUUGGAAAUGCUUUUAUGUAUGACUGAGAGAAACUUGUUGGGUUGGUUUUUAGCAACAGACGGAGUUAUGGACUUUGUGUUGACUUGUUAAUGAUUAAGACAGUACAUCGGCUGAUCUAUUGGCAUCAAGCAGCAGAUGCAGAAAUUAUGGGUGGCAUGUCAUUGUAUCCAAAUAAUGUACUACAUUGAUUUUUCUGACUUUCUGUUGGUCUCCGAGUGAAAUGCAGGCAUUUGCAGAUGAACUGGGGAUUCCUUUCCUGGAGACGAGUGCCAAAGAUGCAAUCAAUGUGGAGCAGGCUUUCUUGACCAUGGCCGGUGAGAUUAAGAAAAAGUAAAAUCACUUAACUCUUUCCUUCUUGCCGACUGUUCUUAUUCAACAAUCACCAUUAUUGCUGGUUAUGUGCAUUGUGAUGAAAAUUCUGCAAUGAAUAACUUUUUACCUAAUGUUUUCUGUUGGAACAAAUUACUCUGGUAGAAAAGCCCUACAGGGUUUGAGAAAUCCCAUGAUGUGAUGAUUGUGAGCAUUUUAGACACCGUGUAUGGGUUUAUUUUGUGACUAUAAAAUGUUAAGAUUGUUUCUAGUUUUGGUUUGUAGUGCAUAAAAGGAUUCAAAAUUUGACAUCUGUCUAAAUCAGAUUAAUAACAUGAUAAUGUACAUAUGCAAGAUGUGAGGAAUUGUUUUAUCUCACCCCUAAACUUUAAGAAAUUGAAACAUUAUCAUUCAAAAUAUUUACCAUUUCCAGAAUUGAUAGUUAGUCUAUUUGAGCAGUGACUGGUGGUUAUCAUGAACUGAUGUGUGGUUGUGGUGUCAAAUCUUGGUGAAACCUGUUGUCAUCUGCCGGUUAACAUAGCUAGUCUCUGAAAUAAUUUCUUGAUUCACUAAUUAUGAGUUCAAAUUUGAUGCAGAAUGGGCAACCAGCCUACUGCAAACAAAUCUUCUGGAACAGUUCAGAUGAAGGGACAGCCAAUCCAGCAAAACAGCAACUGCUGUGGUUAGCCGAGCAUCUUAUUUUACUUCUACAUGUUAGCUGACUGAUUGUAUACAGUUUUAACUAUGUUGACUGCAUUAUCUUAUGAGUCUUUUAAUAUGUCAAAUAUUUAUUUCCUGCUUUAAGUUCUUUCCGUUUAUAACAAAUUUAAUUUCUUGCUUCAUUGCAUUCCAAAUUCCUGUCAAUUUACGAGGGAAAAAGAAAAGGGAGACGAAAUCGGAGAAAAUGCUCAAAUUUGUUUGUUUAUUGUCGUGACCCUCUUGUAGCUUGUCUAUGACCUGGAAGUCCGGUCAUAUCGGAUGGGUAAAGUUACCAAAACGGCAUCAUUUUGGGUGAAAUAUCAUAUUUGAUAAUAUUUUUAUGCAACAAAAAAAUGUUCGCAGUACCCUUUUCACAUUGUGAAGCGCAUGAUCGGAUGAGAGCAGUCUGGAUUCUGGCAUCACAAGCUAAUGCUUUGAUUUGCUUAGUUUGUUUUUUGUUUCUGAUAUUUUCUUGGCAUUGGGUGGGAUAUUGUUUCUCUUUUGAGUUUCCUUUUUUUUUUUUUUUUGAUUAUGGAAUUUGGAGAUAGUGUACAUGUAUGAAGAUGACGUAAUCAAGUUGUUUUGAUAAAUUUCCCUGGUCGGUUUACUUCACUAACCAUUAAUGCGCAAAACCUCCUGAUGACCCUAAAAAAUCCCGUACAUAAUUAAAGAAUUUCAAUUUUAUAUGUACAAAAAUAAAUAACUCUCAAAUAUAUUAUUUGAUAAUUCCAAAAACAACUAUUCACUCUAAUAAAUCUCGUAGGAAAUACAUGGUCUAUAUUGUAAGUCUUUUCGAGACUAAUUCAAAAUACGAAGGACAUAUAAUUGACCUCUACAGAACUCUAAAUAUCAUAAAGAACUUUAAAUAAAUUUAUAUACGCAUCACAAUUAAUUACAGCCUUGAUACUUCAUUUGGUUUUUGUUAAUUUUCUAUACAGUUGUGCUGUGCAUAAAAGUUUUGUUAAAUGAAAUCGGUAGGUGAGGGUUAAUUAAUCAAUUAAUUAAGAUCCAGUUAAUGUAAUUAAUUUUAUUUGAUUUUUUUAAUUCGAGUUCUAAAUUAAUCAAUUAAUUUAGAUUCAUGUGAAAUUGAAGUGAAUUAGUUUCGAUCUGUUUUUGGUCCUAUGUUUGUAUGUGUUUACUCUUACUUUUCUUUUUGUUUAAAUUUUCGUUUUCUUAUUUUUUCCUGAAUAAAUUUCUGAGCUUUAUUUGAGUAUGAUGAUUGAUUUGUGAUUUUAAUUUGUGACUUUUUUUUUUGGAAUUUAAAUCUGAAUGCUUUUUAAGUUGAAUCUGAAUGUGUUGGGCUGCGAUUUAAUUGAGUGAUGUGUGAGCGCAAAAUAUACAAUAACUGAUAAAUUAUAUUUAUAAAUAUUAAUAGCGAUGGCACAUAAACAAUUAAUUCAAGAACUCGCCCAAAGUGCAUUAAUUUGAAGAGUAUAAAUAACAUUGCAAUACAAUCUAGCCCUUACGUGUUUAAUUAGCAAUUACACGAACAUUAUAACACUCUGUUGCUGAUGCGGCAGCUAGUAAUUCUUCUGGUGAAGAUAUUAAGGCUGUUAAAGCUAAAAUGUAAUCAGAGAAAUAUAAUGCAUUCCCUUAGUUUGCUUUUUGUUUUUGAUAUUUGUUUGGCUAAUGCUUUGCUUAGAUUGCUUUUUGUUUUUGAGAUUUUAUUGGCUUAGUCAUGGUAUAUUGUUUUCUCUUCUAAUUUUCUAUUUUUGUCGUUAUGGGAUUUGAUGAUGGUGUACACAUACGAAAAUUAUGUAAUAAAGUGCUUUCAAUAAAUCAUGGUCGGUUUACUAUUAAUUAAUUAAAUUUAAUUAACUCAAAUUACUCUUGUACACAACCAAAAUAAUUUCAAUUCUACGAUAUGUAUACACACGCGCACACACAAACAAAAAGUAAUUAACUUUCAAAUAUUUGCCAUGCUAUUUUAAUAAAUAGUACUUGAGAAUAUAUAUAUCCAACAGGUAAAAUUUCAAAACAAUAUUUGCCGAAGUCUGAUGAAGAGAAUAUACACGCACACACAUAUAUAACCGUACAGCAGAAGGAUAAAUAAAAGAAAAUAAAGUUUCAACAGCUGAAUAAUGCAAACUCAUUUUUUUUAACAAGCAUUUUAUUGUUUAAUUUAAAAAAUUCGAAAACCGAUUGGUCUUAUAUACAUGAUAAAGACUCACCGACGCCGAACCAUAUUCAUUUAAAUUAGUUUUCAACUGAGAUUUGAAUUUUGAAAUUACAUACACAAACACGCUCAAUUUAAAAAUAAAAAAUAGUAAUUAUAAAAUAUUUCUGUCGUCCUCCAUUCAAUUAUCAAAAAACGACUUUAUAAUCGAUUUUAACAUAAGGUAUAUGGGUUAACAAGUCCCAAUAUUGUCCUCCAUCCUUUCUGCACUUCUCUUCUAUCAACGGACAUCUCCAGAUCUGUAAUUGCAAAAGUGAGGAAGGCAGGCCCUUCUCCGGAAAGUAUUUAAGCUUGGGACAUCCAUGGAGUCGCAAUUCAGUGAGGUUUUGAAGAUCAACAAUUGAAGAAGGUAGGCGUUCCAGAUUUGAAAAUAAAAGAAUGCUCAGAGAUGUUAGAGAGGCAGGAAGAGGAAGCGCGGUCCCUAAUCUUUUGUCCUCUAGUGGAAAUGACACCAUGUCGUCAUAACAUCCUCCGAUUUCUAGAUGUCGCAUAGAGGAGAAUCUGUGAAAUCCCCGACCCCGCUCAACCAUUGACUUCCAAAUCUCCAUAUUACCCCUGAUAUGAAGUGACUGAAUCUUGGUGGGAAGGCCAUCUUCUUCAAGGCUUGGAAGCUCACCUCCUAUUCUUAAUUCUUGAACAGAAGUCAGGUUGUGCAAUCCCUUGGGUAAGGCCUCUAGUCUCUUGCACCAACGGAUACAGAGCUUAGUGACUUUCGCACAAGGCAGUCCCCCUUCGGGAAAGGACACCAGAUUUCCACACCUCUCUACACUAAUCUCUCGAAGCUGGUGGAGAUUAUGUAAACCACUCGGUAAAAUUUUCAGAUUUUCACACUCAGAAAUGUAGAUAUCUUCAAGAGAUGUGUUGUUGUCCAACCUUUCUGCUAUUGACUCCAGAUUUCCACACAUCUGUAUACUAAUCUUUCGAAGCUGGCGGAGAUUAUGUAAACCACUCGGUAAAAUUUUCGGACUUUCACAAUUAGAAAUUCUGAUUGUUUCAAGGGAUGUGUUGUUGUCCAAUCUUUCUGCUAUUGACUCCAGCUUUGAACAUCCAUAAACAUCAAGGGACUUAAGAGACGAAGGUAGAUUGCCAACUUCAAGGGACUCAAGCGUGGCAGGUAACUCGUUUUGUGAAAAUAUACAUGUCAGUGAUGGACAAUCCCUAAUUUCCAACUCCUCGAGAAGAGAUGAGGUGUACCUUCUGCCGCUGCUACUCUGGAUGCCCUCUUCCACUGUCAAAGUCCUUAUAUUAUCGCAACGCCAGAUCUUCAACUUCUUAAGGCUCGAUGGUAGCUGGACAGCAGCAAUAUAUGUCAACGAACAACAAUACUGAAUAUUCAAGAUCUCGAGAGACGAAUGGGUGUCGCACAUCCAUGCCUCUGGUAACGAUUUCAGUGCAUCACAAUGCCCAAUCUGAAUUUCCUUCAACUUGGAAGGCAGAGCAACCUCAGGAAACGAAACAAGGGAACUGCAGUUGUAGAUUUCUAUCUCUCUCAAGGAACUGAGGCUGAACGAUGAUUGUGGCAGCUUCACAAGGCCUUCGCAUCGGUUCAAUUCUAGAUAUUCAAGUCUGCUUGACAAUUCGCAGAGCUGCUGUUGUUGGUCUUUCUCUUCCUCCGCCACCAAGGAUUGAAGUUUGGGACAGCUGUCAAUCGUCAGUCUUUUGAGAGAGCAAAUGUCUUGCAGUAAUUCGUUAUGACUCUUCCAUAUAUAUGUUUCAUUUUUAAUAUUAUUUAUCCCCAAUUUUUCCAGUUUUGGUAGUCGCGGCUUCAAUGGCCCUGCGAGAAACACUUGAUUUGAUGCAUCUCUACAAACCACUGAAUUCUGUGAGCCGAGAUGAUCGGUUGCACUUCUCCACACAACCUUUUUACAUCCAUUAAUCUCUAAUUUGCAAAGAGCUGGAAGACUCGUAACUGAAACUGACAAUUCUUCACAUCCUCCAAUAACAAGCAUCUCCAAUGCAGGAAGGCAUUCUGGCAAUGUUCCUUGUAGUUUAGAACAUCUUGAAAUGCGAAGCUCGCUCAAUUUCGGAAACCCUUCAACUCCCUGACCAGAUCUAAGAGGAAUCCAGUCUUCCCAUUCUUGCAAGUCUUCAAAACAAAGAGUCUCCAAGCAUGGAAAAGGAAUCGGGGAAUCAUUCCCAUAGAACUCUGAACCCAAACUCUUUACUCUACUCAUUCCACUCACUUCAAGAUGCUUUAGAGAGGGUAGUUGCCCGACUGACGGCAGGGUAGUACACACGCCGCAAUCUUGAAAAUCUAAGGUCGCUAAAUUUGAGAAUAAGGAAUCUCCCAACCAAGUUGGAAAUUCUUUACCUCCAUAGCCACCGAUACAAAUUUGUUCCAGAUUUUCAUGAGGUUUUAGCAUGUCGAGCACAUCCUUUUCAGUUUCUGCCUCCCUUGAAGACAAACCAUCGGUACUCCGUGUCCAUCGAAACCUUAACACUUUAAGAUUCUUCUUUCCAUUCAAUUGAGCCUCCUUUGCAUCACCAAUGUCUUUUACGUUCUCCAAUUUUGAAAUGUUAAGUGUCCCACGAAGAUGCGUCAACAAUUUUAGCUCUCGUAUCCCGGAACCACUGUCUUUUCCCACAACAAAAUUACACAGCGUCUGAAGGCAAGUCAACUUACCAAUUCCUAGUGGCAUCUCCUCCAAUGAACCUGUAUAUGAAUUAUUGAGAUGAUGCAAUUUGAUGAGAUUUCCCAUGUCUGCACACAACUUCUUCAGUCGCAGACAGCCCUCCAACAGAAGGGUGUGCAAAUUGUAAAGCGUGUUGACUGAUUCAGGCAGAGUUAUAAUGCCAGUUCGCGAUAAGUUAAGGUACCUUAAAUACCUCAAAUCACUAAUUGAAUCCGGUAGCUCAGAGAUUUGAUAUCCAUGCAGUGAGAAAACCCUCAACCGUUGGAGUUUGAACAACAUAGGAAGAAUGCUACGAGCCAAGUAUCCACGCGAACUAUUUGACUGCAUUACUCGUAAAAAUGUUCGCAAAUGUUGGAUAUCGUACAAGCCCUCAAACCUUUUAACGCCAUCAUAUUUUCCACAAAUGUACGAUAGAUGACGAAGAUUUUUGGAAAAACUUUGUUGCUUGUUAACCUCUGAGGUAUACUCCAUUGUGAAGUAUAUAUCCCCCGCAGCCCAUUGAGCAAGGUCGUUGACAAGGUCAUGCAUCACAAAUCGUGAUUUAUUGUUGCUUGAUUGCUGGAAAAAAGAUCUUGAACGUAGCUCUUGAAAGAACUUUCGACCUAGAUCUUCAUUAGGAUUCCCACUCUCUUUGUGAUCCAAGAAACCCGAAGCACACCAUAAUAAAAUUAUCUCCUCCUCUUCAAAUUCAUAAUCCUUUGGAAACAAUGAGCAGUAUGCAAAGCAUUGUUUCAAAGGUGCCGAAAGAUAAUAGUAGCUCACUCUAAGCGCCGGUAUAAUGUCACAUCUCUCUUCUGGUAAAUCCCAUAUCUUGCAACUGAGCACACCUUCCCAAUCACUCCGGUCAAGUUUACCUCGUAAGAGUCCACCAAGAGUUUUCGCAGCUAAGGGCAAGCCGUUGCAUUUGAUCACUAUCUUCUUGCCAAUUUCCUCCAAUGGCUUGUUUGAACUGAAAUCUCUUGUCCCCAAAGAGUGUUGAGCGAACACAGACAGACAAUCAUCAUUUGACAGCUUUUUCAAUUGAUAAGCCGGAGCAGUCCCCAUGAUGGCUGCAACCCCUUGAUUACGAGCUGUGACAAUAAUCUUACUUCCCGGUGCGCCAGCUUCAAAUGGAAGUCUGAGUCGAUCCCAACCAUUGUAAUUCUCAUUCCAAACGUCAUCUAAAACAAGCAAAAAUUUCUUUUGAGAUAACUUCUUCUUCAGCUCCUCUUGAAGCAAAUUUAAAUCACUGUCAUCAGUAGUCUGCUUAGUAAUGGAUCUUAGAAUUGUUUUUGUUAGCCUGAUAACAUCAAAAUCAUCAGAGACACAAGUCCAUGCCUUGAGAUCAAAAUGACCCUGCACUCGAGCAUCAUUAUAGACAAGCUGAGCGAGAGUGGUUUUACCCAGCCCGCCCAUGCCUAUGAUAGGAAUAACAGAGAAUUCACCAUCAUUUCUCAAAUCAUCCCUCAACAACAAUUCAACAAUUUCCUUCUUUUCUGCUUCCCUGCCAAAUACCUUGGCUUCAUUCACCAAAGAGGUUGUGGGUAGUCUUUGCCUGCCUUUUCUGGACCUCCCAGCUGAACUUUCUUUCAAAUUCAGCAAGUCUUUCUCUGUUAGAAUUUCUUGAAAUCUGUCGUUGAUCCCUUUGAUUUUGGACAUCAAGGCGAAAUCGAACUGAAUCGAUUGCAGAGUAAAAGUGGUGCUGCAAGUAAGAAUGAGCUUCCGAAACUCACUUGUUCUUGUACGACUGCUACUGGGUUGAUCCUGAGCCGCAGCGGGAUCUCCAUUUCCAAGCAGCAACUUCCUCCGGAAAGCCUCAGUUUGAAACUCAUCCAACAAGUCUUCAACAUCAAAAGCCAAGUUCUGAAGCUCGCCAAGCCACAACUUCACAAUCUCAUCAGUCCUCUUCUUCUCCUCAGCAUCAGCAAGCACCGCCUUGAUCUUCAAAAGCAUCGCCUUCCACUUCAUUAGAUCGGCCCGGAUUUGAUCUUGGCGUGGAAACAACCGAAUCCCCACUGAAGCUAACUUAUAGACCAAUAACUCAACGGACGCCGUCAGGAUUGCCUCUCCGAUGAUUGACAUUUUUUUUCUUUUUUUUUUUGUUUUGCAAAGAAAGAAACAGAAUUUUGAGUUUUGAAAAGCAAAAUGAGAAAAUUGAACAGUAAGUGGGCAGAGUCAAGCAAAAUGCGCGUAACAAGUCUUCCGCUUAUUGUUUAUUCCAGUAAAGUGAAAAUAAAAACAGAGCCCACCACCCAUUAAUAAUUUAGCAAUUCACCAAUCACCAGUCACCACCACUCGUUACCAUGAAUAUAAUAAAUUGCACCUUGAUAUUUGCAGUGUCCAGCAACAUUGACCCAGUGUCCGGGUAAAUGCUGAAUAAAGAGGAAAAUGGAAUGUAUCCACUACGAACCUUCGCUUUACAAGUCUUCAAACUCAUAAACCAAGUUAAAUCAAAACGUUUAUCUCUCUCUCCCUUUUUGCCAUAUAAUUACUUUAUUUAUUGAAUUAAUUUCCAUGCUAAAACGAACACUUAAAAGUGCACUAUAAUUUUUUAUGAUCACAAUGGUAAUAAAUUUUUUUUAUAUGAACACUCUUUUUAUUUAUGAAUUUCUCAAUUUUUAAUAUUUUUCUCACUCUUUUAAUCUUAUUAUUUGUAUUUUUCUCUUUAAAUUUUCUUUAUUAUUUAAUUUUUAAAAAAAAUAUGAAAAAAAAAAUAUUAUACUUAAAAAAUAAUAAAUAUUUUAUGGGAGCUUAUUGACAAUGAAAGAGCACGUGAAAAAUCUCACUUCAUAUAAAACUUUGUGAAAGGCAUUUGAAUGUGUGGCCACAUUUUCCGAACGAAACGAUAAGGCUUUAGCCUUAUAUUUGCAAUUAGUUUGUCUUGUAACUAAAUUAUUGCCGACAAACACCAUCAUGCUGACAAACCGUGCAUGCACGUCCUCAAUCACCCACGUCCUCUACUUGUUUGAACCGUGAUUCUCAAAGACUUCGACAUCGUAUUUCCCAUUAUUUCCCGUACUUUAUGCAUUAUUGUUUUGUAUGGCUUUUGGUGUUUGCGGUGUAGUUAGGGAUGGUAGCGGGUAGGGUCUGGUACGGGUUUAACAUUACCAAACCCGCAUCUACAAAAAUUUUUAACAAAGCCCAUUUACUGUGGGUUUGGCUGGUGUGCCUAGAGCUGGCAAUAUUUGACACGAUCCGAUUAUCCGACACGAACACGACAUAAAUAAAUGGGUAUGGGUCGUCAAAUUUAACACGAUUAUUAAAUGGGUCGGGUCCGGGUCAACAUGAUUUUUUUCCGUGUCGGGUUUGGGUUAAAAUUCUUGACCCAUUUACCCGAUCAAUGACCCGAUUAUAUUUUCUAUCUUAAAAUAAUUUACAUAUUCUUAUCAUUAAAACUCAAAUAUUAGAGAUGAUUUUUUUUUAUUCUUUAAAAAGGUGAAUAUAAACACAGUGUUUUAUUUAUAAAAUUUUAAAUACAUUUAGAGCUUCAAUAGUGUAAAUGUGUAAAAAUUGAUAGACAUGUAUAUUUUAUAAUAUUGAUAUAUAAUAUUAUAUAUAUAUAAUUAAAACCUCAAUAGUGUAAAUGUGUAAUAUAUUGGUAGAUAUGUAUAUUUUAUAAUAUCGAUAAAUUAUGUAUGUUUGUAUGUACAUACGUAUGUAUGAUAGUGUGUAAAUAUUUGAUGUAACUUUUGUUCAAUAUAUAGAUAUUAAACGGGUUAUUGGGUAACCCGAUUAUUUUUCCGUGUCGGGUUUGGGUCUCAAUAUUUUGACACGAUUAUUAAAUGGGUCGGGUUUGGGUCGACCUAAAUUUGACACGACACGAAGCUGACACGACACGAACACGACCCGAUGACCCGUUUUGUCAGCUCUAGGUGUGCCUAGUGGAUAUUUUGCAAGUUCCCACUUAUAAAAUCAUGCUUGCAACAAAAUCUAAAAAUUUAAAUUACGUAAUUCAAAUUAUAAAUUUAUAACUGUUGCCUAAAAAAAACCACAUAAAAUACUUAAUUGUAGAUUUUAUCAAUGUAAAUGAGAAAUGAAAAUAUCAACAUUAAAACAAAUACACAAAAUAUAUCAAUUUAACACGAAUUCUCUAAUUCAAUUACCAAAUAAAUAAGUCUAUCACAACUCGAAGUGCUUUCAAUUAUUGUAACUUCAAAUCCUUACAAAUUACAUAUUACAGACAUGAACACUAUGUUUUGACAUAGUGGCUUUUGGCUUGUCCAGAGAAAUUUAGGAUAGAUUUUGAUGUACUAAGGUUCUGUUUACUAUUGAGAUUUUGGAACUUUUGAGCCACACUUGAAAUUUGUAUUAUUCUAAUAGAGUUGUAGCCUUCGAUAUGUGAUUGGUAUUAAUCAUGUGUUAUGUUUACAGCAGUUAAAGGCAUAUUGAAUCAAAAUCCACUUUUGAUUGAGAUUUUAAAGUAGGUUUUUAAUUUGAUAGCCACUCGAGUUCAAAUAUUGGAACCAUAGUGCUUUAUAACCAAGUGAGAGAACUUGUGUCCUAAAAGUUGAGGGCUGCAGAUCGAGUUUUACUACCAACAACAAAAGUUGGUGUUAAGACUUUAGUUCCCCUCCUACUAAUGGUUAAGGAUAAUUAGGACUUUACAUCCCCUCCUAUUAAUAGACAUGGGUUAUUAGGAAUUUUAAAAAAAGGUUUAAAUAUUGAAAAAUUAGGUUAUAAAAUUCAUAAUACAAGAACAGUAAAUCAAGAUAAAAAUUUAAAAAUUUAGAACAAUGAGAGCGUAACUUGUAAGUUUCAAAGAAGCAUGUGCAGAUAUAUGCGUAUCAAUACCCAUUAGGGGUGGGCAUUAAAAUCGGGUUAACCCGAACUGAACCUUCAAUUUAGCAUAGAUAAUGAAUUUAUGCCUGUACUCUAUAAUGCAAAUAAUAUUAUGUUUUUAAUUCAAUUUAGCACCCUACAAGAAGAGAUUACCUUAUCGCUUCCAAUCCUUCCUUUAGAUCUAAGCCACUUCAUGAACUUCUUGAUCCUUGAUUCGUUCCAAAAUGUGAUAGGAAGUAUAUUCCUAUCAGGCUGAUUGUUGUCAUAUGCACCAUUAUGGAGAUAAAAGAUCUGCAUGAGCAACUUAUAAUUAAGAAGAAUAAUAUUAUUCAUGGUAAGCAUAUGCUCAACUUUAGUUGCAGAAACUAUGUCACCUGUAGGAAGUGCAAAGAAAUUCCAAUGUAUGCUGCUUGUUGUUUCCACUAUUUCAUUGUCACCAGAAUGUGAGUUUGAAUGACCCAUCCUUUUAUCUCUCUUUUUGUACCUUGCCUUUUGUUCGGGAGGAAGUUCUUUGUAGGUUUUCCCAAUAUGUUUUCAUAACUGUCAAAAUGAUAAUGAAUAUGUCUUAAAACAUAAAAAACUCACAAAAUAAUAUCUGUACAUGCUACAUUUAAUGAAUAUACUAACCCCAAUCGUAACGGACAAAUCUAAAUUUUCACUUCUCAAACGCUUAACUUCUUCAUUGCUGCAAAAGCAUAACAUCUAAUUACUGAUAUUUGGUAUGGGCGUGUUUCUUUCCCGAUAGGUAAAUCACAACGACUACUUACAAGUAAGAGACAAAUCCAUAAGUUGAAGAAGUUGGAAUUGCAUCCUGACCAUUUGCUUUUAGAAUAAGAGCACUUUUUUUCUGUAAGCCCCCUAGUAGUUGUUUACGCUUUCGUCGGUGACUGUCCAAGAAAAAUUUUAAAUAAUUAAGUGAAGGAUAAUUAUUCCAUCAAUAUGUAUUAAAUUUUUUUUAAAAAAAUGAGUUCCCCCACCUGCUAUUCAAAGUCACUGUGUACUCCUUACUUUUUAAUCUAUAAACAUUCCAUAUAUGGUGGAAUUCAAGCACAAAUUAUAAUUUUAUUUUAUUUUUUUUCCUCAUUUAUACCAAUGAAGAAAAAGAUGACAAGAAUAACAAAGGAAAGAUCUUUAUUUUUGCCCAAGACUAAGACCUCUCACACACUCACAAUAAAUGAAUGACAGAGUGAAAAAAAUUGUAUAUAAUAAAGGGAUGGGAUCAAGAGCUCUCAUUUCUUACUACAAAAUUUACGAAAUCUAAAUAUUUCAACAACAUAAAAUUUAAUGGAUAAUGAUCUUUGCUGCAUACAUUAAAAUCAUGACUAUUACCGUGCCCUCAACUUUGCGUCAUACAAACAAAUUUCAUCAUGAAACAAAGUACAAUGCUUUUUUUUUUAAUAAAAACAUACAUUAAAGGCUGCUGCGAAUAUGUAGGGGAUGAUGGGUUGUAACCAAGAUCAAAAUCAAUGCAUUGAAACCAAUAUGACAAAAUCCAUACUAUGAAUUAUUAUAAACACCUAAUAUAGAGUUAGUAUAUCAGAGGGAUUGAUACCUGGAAUGUACUUCAGCAAAACAGGACCCCUGAAAAUAAGAAAGAAAAGUUUUGCUCAACAUUCCAAAAAAAUAGAAGAAAGUAGAGCAUUUUGUCAGCUCUUUUUUAAAAAUUAUAUCGUUGUAACUUACACAAAAUUCCACUUAGCACAAUCGUAAGAUUAAGAUAAAGGCCUGCUUGCUGCACCAGCUUGAUAAACUUCAGCAGAUCAGAAUUCCCCUCCAAGUAAUACUAAAACUAAUUAAAACAAAAACAAAAACAAAAAAACAAAAAAAGCAAAACAUUUACUAAAGAACUUAUUUAAAAUAUUACCCUAGAUUUGAGACUACAAGCAAACAGGGCCUUCUGAUAAAAACAAAUUACAUGCCAUAAAUAAAAUUAUUACAAGCCCACCAAAGAAAUUUUCAGGGUUAUAGUGAUUACAAACCUUCCCUAACUUUAUUUAUCUUCACCAAUGAAAAUAGGUCAACAUUUAACAUUCUUUUACAACCAAGUACACCAAGUCUUACAAUUAAAGGUUUAAGGUUACAAAGCAUAGUUACUUAAGACUCUUAGCUUUAUCGUAAGGCACCUUAGAAAAUUCUAUUACCACACAAAAACCUGGGCCUAUUUCUUAUAAACACGGCAACAAUCACAUCCAAGGUCAAGCAAAUUCAACAACAAGCCCAUACGGCAUAUACCCAGCACAUACAUUGGCCGAUUUGAGGCACAAUACAAUAGAAUAUUAUCAUAAAACCACCACAAUAUCACUGGAUUCGAAUACAGGAACAAUAGAAAUUUAAUUGUUCAAUUAAAUCAUUACCCCAAAUCACGAAUACCAACGAGACUACAUUAAUUCAUGCCACUGGCAGCAGCACAUUCUUUAAUAAAAUCCUUCAAACAUAAAAAAUCAGCUACAUGCAAAUCUAGAAUUUAAAAGGAAAUAUACAAUAAUUUUUUGAAGAGAAGAAAUGCCUUUCCACUUAUAUUCAAGAUAAUUCAAGAAAAUGACAGGCCCCAAUUCGCAGCUCAUCAAAACAAACCCCAUUACUUGCAGUUGCUUGAUGCUCGAUAAUGUUACCUCUCUUUUUUUUUUCAAUUUAUAAUUUUUUCUUUUUUGUGAAUAACGGAAUCUCAAGAUAAAAUAUUGCAGUAUGACUUAAUUGUAACUCUAUCGGUUCAAAAAUAAAAAUGAGAAGCCCUAGCAAUUAUCAUUCGAUUAUCAAUCCCUAGAAAUCAUCUCAAUAUUUCAAGUAAUAAUUUCUCAAUUGCAAAAUCAAAUUAUUGAAACUGAAAUUUCAAGUAAUAUUAAUAAACUAAACUGAAACUUCAAGCAUAUUUAAAUGACAUAAUAAGAUUCUUAAUCAUAUAUUAAAUUAGAGAGAGAGCUCACCGAAACUAUUGGAUGACAUAAGAGAGAGAUACAGCAAGAGAGAUGAUUUACGACAGUGAAAAUUUGAAGCUAUGACUGACGAAAUGAAGCUGAACGCGAGAAAUUGAGCGACGAAUUGAAGCGAGAGUGACAGAUCGAGUAAGCCUGAGUAAAUGGCACUCUUUCGACUACAUCUUUGCUCUUUGCUGUGAUGGGUGGUGAAUAUUCUUGAAUACCAAGUUCAUUGAUCCAAAAUUCUGGAUGUAGGAGAAAACAAUAGCAGAGAGAAUACGAAGGCUGUUAUUUUGAGGAGGAGAGAGAGGCAUCACAAUCCAACGGUUGUGAUUUUUUAGAUAAGUCAAGUGAUGACAUAAUAACUUAAAAGCUUCAUCUUCCUCUAGCUUCCUUUCGUGAAACCCGAAGCAAUUCCUUCCAUCUCUACGAUAUUAACAAAAGCCAAAAUUUUCAACCAUAAUUACAAUUAAUUUGCUACUUAAACAACGUGAAGUUACAAAAUUUUGGUUUCUGAAUGCGGAGUUAAAAACCUCUAACAUCAAUAUAUUGGGAAUUGUGCCCUCAUCGUCUUAAGAUUAUUUGUUAAUAAUUAUGUAGAAAGGAAAAAAGAUGGAUGAUUUCAAUUUCCACCAAUCGAUAUGCAUGCACGAGUCUGAACUGAGACUGAGAAGACUAUUAGUACAGAGAUGGAGGAAAAUAAUCUACUGAAGCACCGAGUUGGCCAAUUUGGAUUUUUCGGAGAAGGUUGAUCUUUAAAGUUCAUUGUUUAUUCAACCAACCAUAAAAAAAUUUAUUGUUUAUUCAACCAAUCAUAAACAAUCUUUUGUAUAUUAAAAAAAAAUUUAAAUGUUCCAGAUGAAAUGGUAUUUUGAAUAUUAUCUGCAAUAUUCACGUGAUUGGUACCACGUUUUUUAUUUUCUUAUUAACAAAAUUAUUUAUUUCGUAGGGACCGCAUUCACGCUUCCAAGUUUCUCAUACAUAUGAAAUUUAACCAUUGCGGUUAAUUAGCAAGUUUUGACCUGGGAAGUCGGAUCCGGCCCGCAUCCACAAGAAUCUGAAAGAUUCGGAUCUGAAAAAAUGCGGAUUCAGACGUAAGAAAUUAAAUUCCGCACGGAUCCCGAUCCGGAUCCGAAUACAAGUGCAUCAAAGCCGGAUAUUCGGAUCCGGCUAAUUUUUAUAUUAAAUUAAAAUAUAUAUAUUAACUUAAAAACAAAUUUAACCUAACUCCCACAUUCACACGCACUCACAACACUUUACCAGCAGCCGCAACCCACAAAUACCUAACACCCAAAUCCCCCCAAUUCCGUAGGAUGUCGCCGUCUGCCUCACGGCCUCGCCUAAGCCUCGUGUCCAAGCCUCGAUCUGAGUCGGUUGCUGUCGUUGCGCGCUGCACGCCUCGAUCUGAGUCGGUCGCUGCCGCUGCACGCUGCACGCCUCGAUCUGAGUGAGUUGCUGCCGCUACACGCUCGAUCUGAGUCAGUUGCUGUCGAAUCCUCGCCAUCGAAGAAGCCUCUUGCCGUCGAAUCCUCGCCAUCGAAGAAGCCUCUUGCCGUCGAAUCCUCGCCAUCGGAGAAGCCUCGUCUAAGCACUUUAAUUAAAAUGGUAUUGGCAAGCCUUGUUGAAUCCUUUGGCCUUUGUUGAUUCAAUUUAGUUUAAUUUUGAAUAAAUUUCUUUGCUGAUUCGUUUCAUCACUUUAAUUAAAUGCAUUAAUUUUCAAUAUAAUGUAAAUGUUUAAUAGGUUUUGGGAUUAAGUUUUAAUUUGGAAAAUUGUUGAAUUUUCAAAAUUAAAAAUUUAAAUGAAAUCUUGGUGAAACCUGUUGUCAUAUGCUGAUUAACAUAGCUAGUCUCUGAAAUAAUUUCUUGAUUCACUAAUUAUGAGUUCAAAUUUGAUGCAGAAUGGGCAACCAGCCUACUGCAAACAAAUCUUCUGGAACAGUUCAGAUGAAGGGACAGCCAAUCCAGCAAAACAGUUAUAAACAACUCUAAAUAAAUUCAUAUACGCAUUGUAACUAAUUACAGCCUUGAUACUUCAUUUGGUUUUUGUUAAUUUUCUAUACAGUUGUGCUGUGCAUUAAAGUUUUGUUAAAUGAAAUCGGUAGGUGAGGAUUAAUUAAUCAAUUAAUUAAGAUCCAGUUAAUGUAAUUAAUUUUAUUGGAUUUUUUUAAUUCGAGUUCUAAAUUAAUCAAUUAAUUUAGAUUCAUGUGAAAUUGAAGUGAAUUAGUUUCGAUCUGUUUUUCGUCCUAUGUUUGUCUCUGUUUACUCGUACUUUUUUUUUAAAGAGUAUAAGUAACAUUGCAGUACAGUUAGCCCUUGCGUGUUUAAUUAGCAAUUGAAAACUACUGUUGCUGAUGAGGUAGAACAUUAUAACACUGUUGCUGAUGAGGCAGCUGGUAAUUCUUCUGGUGAAGAUAUUAAGACUAUUAAAGCUGAAAUGUAAUUAGAGAAAUAUAAUGCAUUCCCUUAGUUUGCUUUUUGUUUUUUAUAUUUGUUUUGCUAAUGCUUUGCUUAGAUUGCUUUUUGUUUUUUGAGAUUUUAUUGGCUUAGUCAUGGGGUAUUGUUUUCUCUUCUAAUUUCUAUUUUUGUUGUUAUGGGAUUUGAUUGUAGUGUACAUAUACGAAAAUUAUGUAAUCAAGUGCUUUUAAUAAAUCAUGAUCGAUUUACUAUUAAUUAAUUAAAUUUAAUUUACUAAAAUUACUUAUGUACACGAUUAAAAUAAUUUUAAUUCCAUGAUAUAUAUACGCGCGCGCGCACACAAACAAAAUGCAAUUAACUUUGAAAUAUAAAAUAUUUAAAAUAAUCACCGUACUAACAAUAUUUGCCAGAGUCUGAUGAAGAGAAUAUACACACACAUAUAUAAGCGUACAGUGGAAGGAUAAAUAAAAGAAAAUAAAGUUUCUACAGCUGAAUAAUGCAAACUCAUUUUUUUUAAGUAUUUUAUUGUUUAAUUCAAAAACCCAUUAUAUACAUGAUAAAGACUCACCAACGCCGAACCAUAUUAAUUUAAAUUAAUUUUCAACUGAGAUUUGAAUUUUAAAAUUACAUACACAAACACGCCCAAUUUUUUUUAAAAAGUACUAACAAUAAAAUAUUUCAACCGUCCUCUGUUUAGCCGCCAAAAACUGAUUUACCAUUUAUUACAACGAAAGGUAUACAUAGACGGAUAAAUAAUGCUAAUCAACCAAGUCCAAUCAUAAUAAUUUGAUUAUCAAUAUAUUAACCAUGUCCAAUCAUAAUAUUUAAUAAUCACCAAACUUACAAUUCCCAAGUUAGAUUAUACGUAUGAGAAUCUAGCAAGUCCAAUGAUAAUAAUUUGAUUUUUAUUAUAUUAACUGUGUCCAAUCAUGCUAUUUUAAUAAAGAUCACUCGAAUAUUUAUUUGUCCAACGGGUAAAAUUUCAAAACAAUUUUUGCCAAAGUCCUCCUCAGCUGAAUAAUGCAAACCCGUUAUGUUAUUCUACCAUUUCUUAAAUUUAAAGCAUUCCACCAUUUAAUAAAAAAAUUCAAAAACCCAUUAUAUACAAUACAAAAAGCCCACCGACACCAAACCAUAUUAAUUUAAAAUAGUUUUCAAUUGAGAUUUGAAUUUUAAAAUUACAUACACAAACACACCCGAUUUUAAAAAAUAAUAAUAAUGCUAACAAUAAAAUAUUUCAGCCGUCCUCUGUUCAAUCAUCAAAAAUCCAUUUGUCAUCUAUAGCAACACUCGGUAUAUGGGUUAACAAGUCCCAAUAUUGUCCUCCAUCCUUUCUGCACUUCUCUUCUAUCAACGGACAACUCCAGAUCUGUAAUUGCAAAAGUGAGGAAGGCAGGCCCUUCUCUGGAAAGUAUUUGAACUUGGGACAAUCAUAGAGAUACAAAUGAGUGAGGUUUUGAAGAUCAACAAUUGAAGAAGAUAGGCGUUCCAGAUUUGGAAAAUCUUGAAUCCACAGAGACGUUAGAGAGGCAGGAAGAGGAAGCGCGGUCCCUAAUCUUUUGUCCUCUAGUGGAAAUGACACCAUCACCGUGUCGUCAUCACAUCCUUGGAUUAUGAGUUCUCGCAGAGAGGAGAAUCUGUGAAAUCCCCAGCCCCGCUCAAUCAUUGACUUCCAAAUCUCCAUAUUACCCCAAAUACAAAGUGACUGAAGGUUGGUGGGAAGGCCAUCUUCUUCAAGGCUUGGAAGCUCACCUCCUCUUCUUAUUGUUAAUUUUUGAAGAGAGGUCAGAUUGUGCAAUCCCUUGGGUAAGGCCUCUAGUCUCUCACAAUCAGAUAUCGUCAGCCUCCUGAGUUUCGCACAAGGCAAUCCCCCUUCGGGAAAGGACACCAGGUUUCCACAACUCCGUAUAGUAAUCCCUCGAAGCUGCCGGAGAUUAUGUAAACCACUCGGUAAAUUUUUUAGAUUUUCACAAUCAUCUACACUAAUUGUUUCAAGAGAUGUGUUGUUGUCCAACCUUUCUGCUAUUGACUCCAGCUUUGAACAUCCAUAAACACGAAGGGACUUAAGAGACGGAGGUAGAUUGCCAACUUCAAGGGACUCAAGCGUCGCAGGUAACUCGUUUUUUGAAAAUAUACAUGUCAGUGAUGGACAAUCCCUAAUUUCUAACUUCUCAAGAAGAGAUGAGGUGUACCUUCUGUUGCUGCUGCUUCUGCUACUCUGGAUGCCCUCUUCCACUGUCAAAGUCCUUAUAUUAUCGCAACACCAGAUCAUCAACUUCUUAAGGCUUGAUGGUAGCUGGACAGCAGCAAUAUAUGUCAACGAAUGGCAAUACUCAAUAU